UACAGAGGGGGCAAGCGUUAUUCGGAAUUAUUGGGCGUAAAGGGCGCGUAGGCGGCGAUUCAAGUGACGGGUGAAAUCCCUCGGCUUAACCGAGGAACUGCCUGUCAGACUGGGUUGCUUGAGACCGGGAGAGGCGAGUGGAAUUCCCAGUGUAGCGGUGAAAUGCGUAGAUAUUGGGAGGAACACCAGUGGCGAAGGCGGCUCGCUGGACCGGAACUGACGCUGAGGCGCGAAAGCGUGGGGAGCAAUCAGG
rnacentral:rRNA from 1 species